CCUCCUCCGGCUUCGGGUGCUCCGCAUGCGUCGCCGGCAGCACAUCCUCGCCGUCGAAGUACAGUGCCGCCGCACACGCGGAGGACGCUGACGAGCCGUCGUCGUUUUGGCCAAACAUCCGCCGAUUCCAUUUUCUUCUCUCCGGAUGGCGGGCGGCGUGCAGGUGCAGGUGGCGGAUCAACUCGCGGUGCCGGCGUGCCCGUGUUAGUUGCUGAUUUCGUUUUUCUUUUAUUUUAUUUUUUGGAAUGAAAACGUCCGUUUGCCGAAGGAAAGUCACCUUCUGACUUCUCUUCUUCACGUUAGAGGAUCCGGAUCCCAGCCCUAAGUGCCCAACACAGCAGAAUAUGUAUCACGUAUUGUUACACCGUUGAACCACGUACACGUGAAAUAUAGAUCUCUCCGAUUCGUAAAAAGUGUCGCCCAAUACAAAAUAGACGAAACGUUUUAUGAGUCGAAGGGAGUAUUUGAAUUUUGAGACUACUCGCAUCUCACCAAUGAUAGGGUUUUAAAAAAGGUUGUAACACUGGUGCCUGCUUGCCAUGAUGAUCGGUCUUGAGCAACUUACUCAUCUGUUCUGUUCUUCUGUAUCUGGUUCCUGGUGCCUGGCUGUAACACUUGUAAGGUUGUAACUUUUUUUUUCGAACCGGAGU
rnacentral:lncRNA from 1 species